AAGAGAGAGACAUGCGCGCAUAUCAAUAAGCGGAGGAAAAGAAACUAACAAGGAUUCCCUUAGUAACGGCGAGUGAAGCGGGAAGAGCUCAAAUUUGAAAUCUUCAAGGUUUUACCUUGACGAAUUGUAGUUUAAAGAAGUGUUUUCUGCUGAAGUUUUGGUAAAAGUUCUUUGGAAUAGGACAUCAUAGAGGGUGAGAAUCCCGUAUUUGACCAUUAUUUUCAGCUUUGUGAUACACUUUCAAAGAGUCCGGAUUGUUUGGGAAUGCAGUCCAAAAUGGGUGGUAAAUUUCAUCUAAAGCUAAAUAUUGGCGAGAGACCGAUAGCGAACAAGUACCGUGAGGGAAAGAUGAAAAGAACUUUGAAAAGAGAGUUAAACAGUACGUGAAAUUGUCAAAAGGGAAGCGUUUGACACCAGUGUUGUUUUCUCGAAAAUCAAUUAAAAAUGGCUCGAUUUUGUAUUGCUUGAGACCUUAAAAGCUCACUGUACAUUUUUCGUGUCUUUUUUAAUGCACUUUUCGUUUAACAAGUCAACAUCAGUUUCUUUUGUUGUAAAAGGGUCAUUGGAAGGUGGCUUUCUUUUCGGAGAAAGUGUUUAUAGCCUUUGGCCUCUGCAAUCGGAGAGACUGAGGUCUGCAGCGUAGACUCUUCGAGGUUAGAUACAUUUGUGCUAAGUUAUAGCUUUUUAUAGACAACUUGUUGACUAUAAUUAGUCUUGUUAGCUUACUCGCUUAUGCUAUUUUACCUACGCUUAGGAUGUUGAAGAUGUAGCACAUCAU
rnacentral:rRNA from 1 species